GCGGAAGUCAGGGGUUUUUAAUCUCCCGCCCACGUCAACACGAAGGCGAGUGAAGAAGACGACAGAAGAGACUCGGCCUUCCUCGCUUCAUGGCGGACCCCCACUUCCCUCCUCAACUCGCUUUAAGUUCCUGAUCGCCAAAUGAAUCAUAGAUCCAACCUCUUGCACCCCAGAGGGAGAGCGGUGAGCCGGCGUACAGUCCUGACCAAUCUGUGAGGGCCAGAGUGACGUCCAAUGGGACCUUGGCUGCACUCUUCUUCCCAGCAAGGCUAACCACCUCCUCAGCUUCCUGACAGUUCCAGCUUCGCCCUCUCUCCACUUUACCCCUCCUGCCCCUCCCCAAAUCUCUCGAGAGACCCCCCCUAUGGAGAAUACUGCUCAGAUCCAAAACCCCCCGCCAAAGCCCGCCCUAAUCCUCUCCAUCGAUCGCCCUGAGAAUUUCCUCCCUGGCGCAGCAGGCGCCGCUCCCCGCCAUCCACACUCCUCGACCCCCCCGAGCAGGCAGCUCUUUUCAUUUAGAGACAAAAUAGGUGCAGGCACAUUACCUGCGUCCACUCUCAUCUUCCUCCACGCUGGUUGAUGAGGUGGUUAUAGCGGGCGGCAUGUUGCUCUGCUGUUCUUUCAAUUCGCUUGGACAGGAGUCAAGCACGUCUCGCUGUAAACAGUUUUCUCUAGCGCAAGCAAUUUUGGAGCACAGGCUUCGUCGUCUAUGUUGUCUACGAGAACCCAAAUUCCUCCAAGCAGUUGUUUGGUAUUGACAAAUAUUGUGAUGGUAACCAAAAUAGGUGAAGUGUACCUGUUACUAAACGAUCAGUACUGGAAGACGACAAUCUCUCUAAGCAUGUGCAAGGACUACGUCACUUUCGGUCAACUUAUUUUAAGGUAGUUACAUUUGUGCACGCUGUCACUGUUACAAUGGUUUUCAUUUAAAGAGGUAAUAUUAUGGUUUUCUUUUAAACACUUCCUUGUAGGGUACACAACAUGUAAUAGUGGUUAUUUGGUUAAAAUCUUGCAUAGAGUAGGUUUCACAGAUCAUCUUCAAGUUACUUUCUGUCUCUUCAGGAUGCGCUGUUUAGUGAGCAGUCUUAUUUACGUGUAUCUACUUUGACUGCGUCUUUUCUCGUUCAGCCAUGUUGUAGUUUUAGCGCUUUUUUAUCAAGUCUACUGACCGAUAUGAGUCAGAACUAGUUUUAAUUUGCACAGCUGUUUUUCAUUUAGUUUUACUCAUUGUCUUUUGACGAAAAUGUGUUUAAGUCGACAAAUUUCUUCACUAUUUUAGUCGAUAUAAAGUAUUGCGCACAACGCAUCUUUGAAGUUGUCUUGAAAGCAAUUUUAAUAAAUAUUUUUGCAGAGCAUCUCAAAAACUAAAGUCACAACAAUAUUUCAAUAAGUACAUUUCACACUAAACCUGAUUGUGUGUUAUUGUUUUAACUGAAAUUUAGCAUAUUUUUCAAAUGUUUAAUAAUACAUGACUAAAAUGGUCACAUGAAGAAACAAACUAAUUUUAUUCUAGAUUGGCGGGCAAGCUCACCUAUGUGUACAACAAAAGUAGUGGUAGAGUAAGCAGUCUUGCUCUUUCUCUACUGUCUUUAAUAGUAGCAGUAAUUAGUACAGUAUGAGACAUUUGGAAAUAUUAGUUAAGGCCUACUUACUGUUGCGUAGAUGUCCUGAUGAUUAGCCUGAAGGAGACGCUUCAAGUUGGUUAUGGUUAGGGUUGCGUAGAUGUCCUGAUGAUUUGCCUGAGGAAGAUGCUUCAAGUUGGUUAGGGUUAGGGUAAUCCUAAACCUAUCCCUAACCCAUAACCCUCUAUCAUGACCUACAUGUCAAAGAAAGGAAAAAUAAAUAUUUCUUAGAAAAGUAAUAAAAUCAUGGAAUUGCCUUAGUUUUGUUUCUUCGUUUGUUAGUGUCAGAAAAAUUGUAUUUAAAUUAUCAAAAAACUUUCCGUUCUGAGUUCUCAAUGAACAGACAAGAAGCAUUCUUUGUUGCACCAAGCCAAACGCUUGAAAGAUUCCGCUGUGGACGAUGGAAUGAGACGGGAGGGGUCAUCCAUUGUCCUCGAAAACCUGCCCAAGCUGAAUCCAGGACGAACCUAAGCCCGAGGGAUCUUCUUCUUUUGUCUUCAAUGUGACCGAAAACAAGGACUGUUUACAUACUCCCCAUUCCUGCUGAGACAGGUGUUGUUGCGUAAACAUUGAACAUCUGAAUAAAAGAGGAGACGAAAACCUUCUUCGUCAGAGUGUGGUGCAGGACUGUACAGAGAGUGCAGUGGCCAUGUCCAUCCAUCCAUCCAUUUUCUACCGCUUAUUCCCUUUGGGGUCGCGGGGGGCGCUGGAGCCUAUCUCAGCUACAAUCGGGCGGAAGGCGGGGUACACCCUAGACAAGUCGCCACUUCACCGCAGGGCCAACACAGAUAGACAGACAACAUUCACACUCACAUUCACACACUAGAGCCAAUUUAGUGUUGCCAAUCAACUCAUCCCCAGGUGCAUGUCUUUGGAGGUGGGAGGAAGCCGGAGUACCCGGAGGGAACCCACGCAGUCACGGGGAGGACAUGCAAACUCCACACAGAAAGAUCCCGAGCCCGGGAUUGAACCCAAGACUACUCGGGACCUUCGUAUUGUGAGGCAGAUGCACUAACCCCUCUGCCACCGUGAAGCCAGAGCGUGGUGCAGGACUGUACAGAGAGUGCAGUGGCCAUGUCUCUCCUCAAUAUUGAGUCCAAAUUGAAUUCUGUCUCUGUUUGAUUCCUUGCCUUUUGUCUUGUUUAAUAGAUGUCCUCAGUGUUUGAACGUGACAUCUUAUUGGUCCUUCGAGCCGGAUUCCAACACGUCUGACGAUUCCAGCAAGAAUGAGUGAAACCAGAAAGACCAUGGCAUCCAAAUCCUGAUUGAGGAACUGCUUUUUCUUCAUUUCGGGCUGGAAUUGAAAGACUGACGGAAAAUCCGAGGAUAAGAGGAAGGAACGCAGAGAGCAGUGAGUACGUUUUAAAUUGACGAAGAAAGAAACGACUAAGAAAAAGCGUGUGACUGAGGGUUACGACGCAUAGACAAACCCUGUAAAUCCUAGGCUCUAACAGGUAAAAAGGCCAAAUAAUUAGAGGGACGUCGGAGUCCAACGUCCGUGAGUAUUAAAAUUUUAAAUAAAAACUGAAUUAAAAUAAAAACUGAAGAGGCCAAAAUACUGCAGGUAAACGGAACCGCGAAAACUGGAAUCCGUAAUAUCCAUAAACAAACAUACUAGGGGGUGUCGGGGCCCACAAUAAUUUGAAAUAUCCGUGAACCAUUAUCCUGAGGACGACGGCGUCCAAUGCAGACCUAAAAUGGUCUAUUCAGAAUAAAAAACUGAAUUUUGUCCGUAAAAAACAAUAACCUGGAGGGCGACUGAGUCCUCAUGAAACAUUGAAAUUUCCGUAGAUCAAUAUACUGAAAGGUGUGAAUGUGAGAGUGUGUGGAGUUAUCGCCAUUAGGCUAUCACUCCAUAUUAAAGUUGUGAGAAGUAAAUAGUGGGUUAUUGUGGAUGCUCUAGGCAAGACACCUCCACUGGGGAACCAUCUCCAGUAGAAGCGACGUGUACCACAAUAAUAAAUUAAACCACUAUCUUACAACAAAAACAAAAGUAAUCCUUAUAAAUUCGGCUCUGUAGGGGACGACGGAUUACUCCAAAUUCUCAAAAUGGAAAGAGGAACCCAAAGAAACGCAGAUCUAAUAUGGUCUACUACAAUCUAUUUCAACCAAAAUAGGAGACCACAACAAAGACAGCGGUUACACUCUACUGCGUGUUGGCGUUGUGGCAAAGAGGGGCAUUUUGCAAGAAACUGUCCUGAGAAAAAAAAUAAAAUUUUAACAAUCAAAGUAACUCAGCAUGACUGUUAAAAGACAACACCAAUUAGUCAUGUUGUCAGCGUAUGCCAUUGGUGGUAAGAUCGCUGCAAAUGUGUGUGUGUGUUUGUUUGUUUGUUUGUUAGUGUGUGUUUAAGUGUGUAUCUUUCCAGGUACAAAUUGUGUAAAAACCCCGGAGGUUCAAAUAAAAAUAAAAAUAGGUUAAAAGAAAAAGCAAAUAGGAGAAAAAUCUCAAAGUGCUAAAAUGAGAUAAAAGAAAAAAUAGAUGAAGAAAUCAAUAAGAAGAAUUAAUGCAAAAUGGAAUAAACUAAUGUGUACGACAGAGAUAAUGGGGGUAUUGAAAUAAGAGAUGAAGAAAAGGUAGACUGAAGAUAUACAUGUAUGUUUGGAUAUAUAAAGAGCGCUUUUAUAUAUACAAAUAUAUAUAUGUAUAAUUAAAUAAUGGAACAAAUAAAAACCUAGAUUAAUAACUAUAAUAAGAGUUGAUGUAUAGUAUGAUAAAAUGGGUUAUAUGUUUAUUAGCUGAGGAAAGAAGAGAGAAAAAAGAAGAGAAAUCUCUUCAAGUGUUGCUGACCUUUGCCCUUAGGAGUGCAGUGUGUGUGUGUGCGUGGCGCAGUGGGGGAGGUGUGAAAGUGAAUUUAUUACAUGUAAAUUUAAAGUAGGUUUACCUUUGAAGUGUAGUAUAACAUUCUUAGGUUAGAUUAUGUUUUAGACAUUUGCAACACCAUACAUCUGAGUGUUGAGCUAAGAUAAGGACAUAACAUAGAAUAAAUAAGGAGGUAUGGCAAUCAGGAAAACUAUCAGCUAGCGAUAGACAACCGUUUGCUUUGAAUAUUAUUGAAUAGUAAUUGCAAAUAAGAAAUAUAAACAAUGGGAAAAAUGUAAAUUCAGAGUUUAAAAGUAUAGAUUAAGUGGCAUAUAGACAGUUAAGUGAGUUUAAAACAUUACUUAAAAAAUACAUAAAGUAAUAUGUAUAACAUUUGAAUUAGGAGGAAAAAUAACAUUAGCGUUAUUAAAUCAUCUACAUAGUGAAAGACACAAAAUAAGCAAAAUAAAAGUCAAAUUAUGCAAAUGAGAAGUAAAGGAUCUCGAACGUUCUCUAAACAAAAAUGGACGCACUAUUGUGGAAAAUAGAAAAACAAAGUACGACAAGUACAAAAACCACAAACAAAGAAGCAAAUUAUGUAAUUUUUAGGAUUAACGAAUUAUUGUAGAAGUUGAAUACCAAAUUAUGCUGAAAUAGUAGCCCCUUUAAGUAAAUUAAUGAAAAAUGUAAUCAU